rnacentral:ncRNA from 1 species
CUUAUCAAGAGUGACGGAGGGAACAGGCCCUGUGAUGUCCGGCAACCUGCCUUUGGCAAGGUGCUAAAUCCUGCGGUGUAUGCCGGAAGAUGAGG